rnacentral:rRNA from 1 species
UCAGAGGGGGGUAGAAUUCCACGUGUAGCAGUGAAAUGCGUAGAGAUGUGGAGGAAUACCGAUGGCGAAGGCAGCCCCCUGGGAUAAUACUGACGUUCAUGCUCGAAAGCGUGGGUAGCAAACAGGAUUAGAUACCCUGGUAGUCCACGCCCUAAACGAUGUCAAUUAGCUGUUGGGGCACUUGAUGCCUUAGUAGCGAAGCUAACGCGUGAAAUUGACCGCCUGGGGAGUACGGUCGCAAGAUUAAAACUCAAAGGAAUUGACGGGGACCCGCACAAGCGGUGGAUGAUGUGGAUUAAUUCGAUGCAACGCGAAGAACCUUACCUGGUCUUGACAUGUACGGAAUCUUCCAGAGACGGAAGAGUGCCUUCGGGAGCCGUAACACAGGUGCUGCAUGGCUGUCGUCAGCUCGUGUCGUGAGAUGUUGGGUUAAGUCCCGCAACGAGCGCAACCCUUGUCAUUAGUUGCCACCAUUUAGUUGGGCACUCUAAUGAGACUGCCGGUGACAAACCGGAGGAAGGUGGGGAUGACGUCAAGUCCUCAUGGCCCUUAUGACCAGGGCUUCACACGUCAUACAAUGGUCGGUACAGAGGGUAGCCAAGCCGCGAGGUGGAGCCAAUCUCAGAAAACCGAUCGUAGUCCGGAUUGCACUCUGCAACUCGAGUGCAUGAAGUCGGAAUCGCUAGUAAUCGCAGGUCAGCAUACUGCGGUGAAUACGUUCCCGGGUCUUGUACACACCGCCCGUCACACCAUGGGAGUGGGGGAUACCA